rnacentral:rRNA from 1 species
UACAGAGGGUGCAAGCGUUGUUCGGAAUUAUUGGGCGUAAAGCGCGUGUAGGCGGCUUUGCAAGUCGGGUGUGAAAGCCCUCAGCUCAACUGAGGAAGUGCGCCCGAAACUGCAGAGCUUGAGUGCCGGAGAGGGUGGCGGAAUUCCGCAAGUAGAGGUGAAAUUCGUAGAUAUGGGGAGGAACACCGGUGGCGAAGGCGGCCACCUGGACGGUAACUGACGCUGAGACGCGAAAGCGUGGGUAGCAAACAGG